CCAAGAACGGCGCCGCCACUCCCGUGCCUCUUCGCUUCCAACGUCGCGGCCGGCCUUUAAUGGAAAGCUACGGCGUGAACUCAUUCCCCAACCAGCACUCCUUCCUCUCUCAACGCUUGGCUUGCUCCCCAACUGGACUUUGGAGAGACCUAGAUGAUCGUACAUCCAUUAAAUCUGCAUGUGUCUUGUUCUGCUUUUCAUUGGAUCCAAAUGUGAGAGAGUCUUCAGGAAGGAGAUUAGGAGAAGGGAGAAAAUUUAGGCAAUUCAGGCGUGUCUUUUUGUUCGUGUUGACUGCUAUGGUGUACGGAUAAGCCACCUACAACAUCCACAUGAAUCGGUUUCCAGGAUAGUUAUUCUUUGAGUAAACAAUUUUGGAGUGAAGAGCAUGGUAGAUCGGGGAUGAUCCAGAAACAAAUGAUGACAUUUUUCUACAGCAGGUACCAUAAAGUUCUGGUAGUUAAAGGCUCUCUGUUAUCGUGUUAAUUUCCUCACAGCAAAAUUACUGAAAUAAACAUAAAACGGAGAAACAGAACCUUGAGCUGGACAGGGUGGAGUUUGUCAGCACAGCGAGAGUACGAAGAUCCAGACAGCUUAUCGAAGAGUAGACAUCUACAGUUUUAACCUCAUGGGACAGAUCCUGCGGGCAAAAUAAAAUAUAGAGCUUAUUUUGGUAAUUCGGAAUAACUUGUAAUCGAAACCGUUGUCAGUGCAAAUCAAUCCCAACUCUGAGGAGACACUCUAUAAAGUACAGUAAACCACCAGGCAGGAAUUCCAAUUUAACCCUGCACUACUACUACUAGUAUCAAGUUUAGUUUUGAUCCUACAUUUGGACUUCCUAUACUGUAAAUUUCAAGCACCCACGAGAUGGAGGCCAAAUCGCAUCCACCCAAUUUCCCCAUCCGUGAAAGAAGUGCAUUUAUCAUGAGUAAAACAGUUAGAAAAAUCAUGAAAAUGGGAAUCCCAAUUAUACGAAUUGCAUGCUAGUGAUGCCCUAGUGAAUCGGGGUGAAAUAUGGAGAAAUCAAUAGGCAGGCAGGGAAUAUCGCUCCGCCCACUCAAGUCCAAGAGCGCAAAUCGUAGGCAGCGGGGGAGCCGGGAGCGAGACGGGCGGGCCCGGCGAAACGCGGCGGCGGC